AAAACUUUCUUUUAUUAGGUACAGAAAUACAUGACGUCCAGAAAGUCACAUUCAGCCAGAGAGAGCGAGAGAAGCCAUGAACCCUGCAGGUCCUGACAUGGAGAAUAACAGCCAAGGUUUUUUCACUCCCGUUACUGUUGUUCAGAUUGACGAAAAUCCAAUUCUGGUGAAAGAUCACGUUUUAUGGUCUCUGUGCAGUUUCCACUUCAUGAAUUACUGCUGCCUUGGACUGAUUGCUUUAUGGUAUUCAAUUAGACAUUAGGGAGAAGCAGAAGAUCAUUCUGAGGAAGGUAAAUAAUCCAUGCCUGCCGUUUGCUACUCUGCAGAAGUCCUCUAUUUGAAUGUAUGAUGUCAAGAAACAGAUAAACAGCUAUUCUUAUAUACUUGGUUUUAGCUGCAAUAAAACCCAUGCUUUGCCAGAAUGUUAACAGAA